UUAGGUUACUUCACUCGACUUGUUUCACCAACAGAUGGCGUUGUUUGAAUUUUGAAUCGCGUCAUGUUAUUUUAGCAUUAAAAAUUAAAAUCAUUUUGCA